rnacentral:rRNA from 1 species
GACGAACGCUGGCGGCGCGCUUAACACAUGCAAGUCGAGCGAGAACCAGGGCUUCGGCCCUGGGGACAGCGGCGAACGGGUGGGUAACACGUGGAUAACCUGCCCUAGGCACCGGGCUAGCCCGGGGAAACACGGACUAAUACCGGAUGGUGCUACCGGCUCACGCGCCGGUCGGUAAAGGUAGCUACGCCCUCCGUCCGAGGAUGGGUGCGCGGCGGAUUAGCUUGUUGGUGGGGUAACGGCCCACCAAGGCUCCGAUCCGUAGCUGUUCUGAGAGGACGAUCAGCCACACUGGGACUGGGACACGGCCCAGACUCCUACGGGAGGCAGCAGUGGGGAAUCUUGCGCAAUGGGCGAAAGCCUGACGCAGCGACGCCGCGUGAGGGAGGAAGGCCUUCGGGUUGUAAACCUCUUUCAGGAGGGACGAAGCUACUCGGGUGAAUAGCCCAGAGGGUGACGGUACCUCCAGAAGAAGCCCCGGCUAACUACGUGCCAGCCGCCGCAGUAA